ensembl:snoRNA small nucleolar RNA SNORD100
UGUAUCGAUGAUGAUAAUUUGGCUCCCUCUACUGAAUACUAUGAAGAGACUGCCAUUGUUACCCAAUUUUUGUCUGAGAUACA